UAUUUUGGAAGAGAUGCAUUUAUUAGAUAAAAAACCAAUACAUACUUUUUCAAGUAUGAAAUUUGGUGAUUUACAAUAACUUAGCAAAUCGCAUAGUGAAAACAGGCGAUAAAUCAUUCAAGUUUCUGACCUAUCAGCUUUCGACGGUAUGGUAUUGGCUUACCGUGGCAGUGACGGUUAACGGGGGAUUAGGGUUCGAUUCCGGAGAGGGAGCCUGAGAAACGGCUACCACAUCUAAGGAAGGCAGCAGGCGCGCAAAUUACCCAAUUCUAACAACAUAAGAGAGGUAGUGACAAGAAAUAACAAUACAAGGCAGUUAAAAUGCUUUGUAAUUGGAAUGAUAGAAAUUUAAACACUUUUUAAAGUAUCAAUUGGAGGGCAAGUCUGGUGCCAGCAGCCGCGGUAAUUCCAGCUCCAAUAGCGUAUAUUAAAAUUGUUGCAGUUAAAAAGCUCGUAGUUGAAUUUCUGUUAAAAAUAACCGGUCUGCUUUUAAUAAAAGUGGUAUCUUGGUGUGUUUUUAGCAAUAAUGUCCUUUGAAAUGUUUUUUACUUUAUUGUAAUAAAUAAUAUUCAGGAUUUUUACUUUGAGAAAAUUAGAGUGUUUCUAGCAGGCUAACGCUUUGAAUA
rnacentral:rRNA from 1 species